rnacentral:rRNA from 1 species
UACGGGGGGGGUAAGCGUUGUUCGGAAUUACUGGGCGUAAAGGGCUCGUAGGCGGCCAACUAAGUCAUACGUGAAAUCCCUCAGCUUAACUGGAGAACUGCGUGUGAUACUGGAUGGCUUGGAUUUGGGAGAGGGAUGCGGAAUUCCAGGUGUAGCGGUGAAAUGCGUAGAUAUCUGGAGGAACACCGGUGGCGAAGGCGGCAUCCUGGACCAAUAUUGACGCUGAGGAGCGAAAGCUAGGGGAGCAAACGGG